AAGCUAUGUUGAGCACUAGAAAAGUACAGGAUCUGAAAUUGGAAAGAACUGGGAUUUAGGUUUUUUCUUUUUCUUUUUCUUCUUUUUUUCCUUUAAUAAAGGUUACAGAAGAAAGACCAAAAGAGUACGUACUUCUUGUGGAGAAAUUAUUAAACUGAACUUUCUGGGUGGGGCUUAAAAUAGUACAAGCUAAAAUAUGUUGCCACAAAAUACCUGUCUAGUAAUUUUUCUGAUGAGCUUCUCAGAAGCCUCAGAGAGGAAUUGUCAAAUUUAUUUGGAGAGAAAUGAGAAAACACCGUGAAGUUUAAUGAGCAACUCCAAUCUAGAAGUGAUUGAUCUGGCGGCUUCUAUGUUGGAAGCCCAAGAAGAAACCAACGUGAUUUACCAGUCCCUUGCUAGAGUUGAUUCAGUUUCUGGGUGGUUAUAAAAACUUAUUUCAGUCUAUUUAUGCAGACUUCGAAGUAGUUAUUUAGUGUGUAAAUUAUAUGAACAUUUCCUCACAGGAAGUUAAACGCUUCUGUCAGGAGAGCUCUGAGAUCCCUGGAUGCAGGUAGAGGGCAGCAACAGGCCUCCUGCAUUAUAAGAGUGGAUUACAGCAGAAGGCCCUGCCAGGGACAGUCCUCUCUGAGAAGAAAAUCAAAUCCUCUGACACCUACACCUACAGCAAGCAUUAAACAUAAUCCAACUCCUAGUCCGAUUAACACAAAUCUUCAUGCUAAAGUCCUGCUUAUCACAUUUUUUAUUAACCAAUACAUGUCAGCCUUUUACCAAAAAGAAAACGAGAAAAAGCACGGGGCAUGCUAAAGGCAAGGAAAACACGUUCGGAAGAGGCAAUGCAGUGGAAUGACUGAGAUUUGAGAGAUAUGUUGACAUUGCCAGUCAGGGAAUUUAGAACAAUUAUGAUUUAUCAGAUAUUUUAAAAUGCCUAAAGCAGAAAGUGAGAGUCUUUUACUAUGUGUACAUGUAUAUGUAUUUUAUAAAUCUAUAAAUAUACACUGUGUAAAUAUAUAUAUUUUAUAAAUCUAUCUAAGAGUCUAAUGAGAAGAAAUGGUAGCCUUUAUGAUAUUACUUGACACAGCGAGUUAUCCAUUAGACUCUGGGCACCCUAAACUUCAGCAAAUGACUGAAAAUAGCUGGUUAAUGUGUUACUUGGAGGAGAGAUAAUGCCUGUAUGAAAAUCACAGAUGAGAUAUCAAAUAUAACUUUUUUUUUCAGAGAUGUGUUCGAAUAGUACUCCCAGGAUUUCAUUCCUUAUGACAUUUAAAAGUUGAGUAUAUAGAGCACUAAAAAUACACCACAGGGAACGAUCCUAUGCUGGCAGAGAAAUGUUUGAGAGCUUCAGAAGGUCCCAGCUAUUUUUAAUUUCUACUGUCACACUACCUUAGAGUGAUGGUUGGUCAUCAUGUUAUGACCAGAGUUCAGAGAUUUGAAGAAGGUAGAACACCUGCCCUGACUUCCUCUGACUCCAGAAAUGAUUCUAACAUACAUUGGAAUUCGAGCCUAUCCUAUCCUGGUUCUUUUCCAUGUAUGGUGAAUCAUUAAUUCAUUCAAAUAUAUUUAUUAAGACUUGCCAUGUGGCCGCACUGUGCUGGGCACUUAGGAUGCAAGGGAGAGAAGUAACUAGUGGUGCACCUGCCCUUACGGUGACUGUGCUCGACUGAAGGAAGUGUGCAUUACAUAAGGACAGAAAUUAGAGCCGUGAGAAUUCAUGUGUCAUAGUUUGGCCUAGAUAGAAAAGUCAGUGAAUUCUGUUGAGAGAAUGUGAUUCUGAGCUGAAAAUGAAAGGAUAAGUUAACUCCGUGAGUGGAAGAGAGAAGCAGAUUUUCUAAGCCCCCAGCAACAUUUGCAAAUCUCCUUGGACAGCAGAGAGUAGGGCGAGUACAGGAGCUGGAUGAACAGCCUAGGGGCACGAAUCUGGAACCAGAGAUGCUGGAAAUCAGAAGAGGCCAGAAAGGUGGCACUGGGAGAAGCAUGCACAUCAGCAUCUGGAUUGUGUAGAAAUCAGAGACUGGCAGACCAGAAGUGAUGACAGCCUGGGCCAGGGUGAAGGGGAAGGGUAGGAGGACUGGAUAAACUGAAUGUUAUUUAGGAGGCUGCAUCUCCAGAAAUUGGUGAUAGAUAUGGUGCAGAGGCGUGCGGAAGGAGGUUCGUCAAGGGUUGCUCCAACAUUUCUGCCAUGAAAGUUGACAAAUGGUGUAGCUAUUCAUGGAGCCUAAGGACAUAGGAGGUGGAUGAGUUGCAUAUACUGAUUCAAAGUGCGAAAGAAGGUGACACUGGCAGGUGAAGCUCGAAGGGAGGUUGGAGAUAGAGGCACCCAACCCGUGUCUUCAUACCCCUGUCACUUUGGGACUUGAAUGUGGUGAGGUAUGUCUUUAAGAAAACUAGAGUGUGAAGAAGACACAAAAGCCAGGCAUGGGAAGGUGGAAGCAUUAUACAAAAACUUAUUUAAGUCUCUGUCUCUUCUGUAUCAUCUACUGGCAUAUAACUUGAAUUCUUAAAAUAACAUAAUGCAGUAACAGUUGAUGAGUAGAAUUUAUUCUUCAAUACGCAGAUAGAAUGUAUUUAAGUAAUAUGUAAAAAAAAGUUGUGCUGGCUUAAGAUACUGUAUAAAUAAUAUCAUAUUAUUGGACAUUAACGUAAUGACAAAUAAUGAGUUUUGAAUUGUAUUGGUCACUAAGAAUUUAUAAAACGGAGUAACAAAUUGCAAUCUAUUAAACACUAGCACAUAGUUUAAUUUUGUCACCGAAUAGGAUAUGAGAGGUUAUAGCCAGGGUCUACAGCAACCCAAACCACUCCUUAAAGAUAUUCCCAUCAGCAAGUGGAAAAGAGUCACUUGUUUUCUUGGAAAAUACAACUUAAACAAAAUAAAUCAAAGAGAAAAUCCAAAGGUAUCUAUACAUAACAGAUGUUGAAAUCCUUCUUGAAAAUCUGUACCUAAAAAAAAGACAAAAAGCUUUACAACAUUUAAACCAACAUUUUGCGAAAAAGACAUUGCCCCGCCCCCUUGGUUAAAUAGAUUUUUUUCUGUUUUUGGGGAAAAAAGGGUAGAGGGACACAGGACGCAGGGCUGUAAGCUCAGGAUUCUCAACUCCCCCUUGCUCUUGUUCACACCAUUUUUCUUGCUGUGGAGAUGGCUUCGUCACCUAAGUAUCAACCAUCUGAGUAUGUGAUUGACUUCCUUUUAAAAUAAAGGGACACCUGGCUACCCAGGUGGUAUUACCAUUUUAGAAGAGCACUAUUUUAUUGGCAAUGUAUUUUAAGGCCUGAAAGAAUCUUGAAAAGUUGUUUCAAUUAUGCCUUAAUGAAACUACUUUGUUCAAAUUGCAGAUGUAUUUUCAGAAAUCUCAUUGACUCAAAACACAGAGUUCAUACCGUGGCAUCAGCCUCUGCUCUCAGGAAGGCUUUGCUAGUUCCAAAGCUGGAAAAUGGCCCAUUAUUCUAUUAACUAUUAAUUUGGGCAUGUAAUGAAUGGAACCAUUUCCACAUAUCUAUUUAUUUGGAGAGGUCUUGAUUGAAAACAUGUGUUCUUACUAUGAAAUCAAACACCACCAAUACUUUCCCUUGGAUUCUCUGCCUUUGCGUUUCCCCAGAGUCAUUCCUACUGAUACCAGCUUUGACACUUGGUUGGGGCAUGUCUGUCAGUAUUCUCCACCUUAAAGUAACUUGUUCUUUUUGUGAUUAAUGAAAAUACUGUGAGUGAUACUUUCGGACAUUGCACAUAUUCCGUUUCUCAUCAAACGUUCAUUCACUGGGCUUACCACAUAUUCAUCCUUCUUGCCUGAAACAAUAAAUGCCAUCGUGUUUGCCAAAUGGUGAUUUUUCUAUUUCCAUCAUUUCUUUGAUGCUUGGAAAUUGGAAUUAUAUUGAUAAAGGACAAAAGCCACCUAAUCAUCUCAGUAAUGCAGAAAAAGCAUUUGACAAAAUCCAACACCUCCUCAUAAUAAAAUCAACAAACAAGAAUUACAGUGGUGUUUCUCAACUUGAUAAAGGACAUUUAUGAAAAUUGCACAUAUAAAAGCAAAAGCACAAGCAACAACAACAAAAAAUACAUAUAGAUAUUGGACUUCAUCAAAACUCUAAACGUUGUACCUCAAAGGAAAUCAUCAGGAAAACACAAAGAUAACCCACAGAAUGGGAGAUAAAUUGGGCGAAUCAUCUAUCUGAUUAUACUAAGUGAAAGAAGCCAGCCACAAAAUAUUAUGUGAUUCUAUUAUACGAAAUGCUUGGAAUUGGCAAAUGUCUAGAUUUGGAAAAUAUGGUAGUGGUUGUCAACAUCUGGUUGAUGAGGAGAAAAUAAAUUGACUGCUAAUGGUCAUGGGUAUUUCUUUUUGGGAUGAUAAAAAUGUUCAAAAUGAGAGAGUGGUGAUGAUCUUGCAUUUCAAUAUACUGAAAACCACUGAAACGUAUUAUUUAAAAUGGUAAAUUUUAUGAUAUGUAAAUUAUAUCUGAUAAUUAUAUCCAAAUAGAGGCCCAAAUCAUCUUAUUCCAUGCAGUUUGUGAAUAAAAUGCUGUACAAUGUCAACAGUGUGGUCUCUAAAGAAAAAGACCACUGCUGCAUGCUUUUUAUUCAAAAUAUCAAGUGGAAGGGCUGAGGUUGCAGAAUACCUUAAAGACUCUUUAUGUAUUUAAAACUUUGCAUAGUUUUUUAUUUCCAAAUUUAAGAAAUCAAUUAAACAUGAAUUUAUUGAAUAAAUUUGAGCUUGUAAAAUAUAUUGAGGCGUAAAUGAGAUAAAAAAAAAAAAAAAAAACUAACUUCGAGUUUCUGACCUGGAAGAGCCUAAUUCUAUAGGCAAGGGUUUAUUGCAUGUAGGGAGACAAGAUAGAUAGAUAGAUAGAUAGAUAGAUAGAUAGAUAGAUAGAUAGAUAGAUAUGUAUACUAGGUAUAUUUGUUCAACUAUAUCCAUUUAAUUGCUCACAAAAUAGUUACUGUGUAACCAUAGUAUAUUAGUUAUUAUGUAUUCAAAUAAAAAAAUGCAUUGUCACUAUCCUUGUAGAGGGCACAGUCUGGCAAUGAAGUCACAGAGAGACCACAUAUUGAUAACUCAGUGAGAAGUACUAGAAUGGACCUAUGUAUAAUUUAUUUUUCACAUAGCACACAAAGGAAACUGCUAAAUCUAGAAACUCAAAGUGAAAUAUGAUUAAAUCAAGAUUAUAAUUGCCAGUGAUACUAUUAAUAGGGGAAGAACAAUGUGGGCUGGAGUAGCUGGCAGAGUCCUCUAGGAAAAGAGUUGGGAACUGAGCCCUGAAAAAUGGGAGGAUUUGGAUAGGUGGGAAAGGAAAGGAAAGGCCUC
rnacentral:lncRNA from 1 species